CAAAGGCUUAGAGGGAGAGUUGCUUUGAUGUUGGUGUGGGGGUAGUGAUGUGCUUUCUCUGGUUUUCCCUACUGGCUCCUAAAUCCAUUGCCUUUCUUAGCCAGGCUGUUCCAGGUUACUCCAUCCUCCUACAAAGUCCUAUGUAAUAUGCGUGAGGCUCUGCCUGCUGAAGUGACCACUGUCCCAUGGAAGAGGCAAAUGUUUGUGUCUACUUCUAUGCUGCUGUUGGUAGGAGCAGUGAUAUGCUCUAUCAGGUGUUUAAUGACUUGGAGGACAUGUGAAAUACACACGUGUGUGACUAAAAGACUGAGUGUGGAGUGCAGAAGGAGGUAUUUAAGACCUAAUAAACUUCUCAUUUCACCCUUUCGUCCAGGGACCAGGGGAAGAAGAGAAAGGAGCCAAAAGCAGAAGGGCUGCAGCUGUAGGAGAGAGCCCUGAUGCCCUGACUUCUCCAGUCUGUGGAGCUCAGCGUUGAGAAACGCAGCUCCAGAUGCUCAGACCUGUUGUGGACACCUGAGGAGCUCACUGUGAUGUGUGUUGGAGGACUCCCCGGGACCCUACUAGCACAACACCAAGAUUUUUAUUCCUUGAAUUCCACCUUGACUCAUAAAAAUCUCACUGCGGGAAACUUGUUCAGCUCCUCUGAACAAAUUCACCUCCUUUGACUUGCUCCUACUGCUUCCACUGAUGCUACCACAGGAGAGUGGGGCGAAUGUUAAUUAAAAGGCAGAAAGUGUCCAGUCCAUCCCAAUGAAAGAAACGUAGCAAGGAGAAGCAGCUACUCCUUGAAAGGUGUCACAGGAUGGGCAUCGGCUUGGUC